rnacentral:rRNA from 1 species
GACGAACGCUGGCGGCGUGCUUAACACAUGCAAGUCGAACGGAAAGGCCCUGCUUUUGUGGGGUGCUCGAGUGGCGAACGGGUGAGUAACACGUGAGUAACCUGCCCUUGACUUUGGGAUAACUUCAGGAAACUGGGGCUAAUACCGGAUAGGAGCUCCUGCUGCAUGGUGGGGGUUGGAAAGUUUCGGCGGUUGGGGAUGGACUCGCGGCUUAUCAGCUUGUUGGUGGGGUAGUGGCUUACCAAGGCUUUGACGGGUAGGCGGCCUGGGAGGGUGGCCGGCCACAUUGGGACUGCGAUACGGCCCAGACUCCUACGGGAGGCAGCAGUGGGGAAUAUUGCACAAUGGGCGGAAGCCUGAUGCGGCAACGCCGCGUGCGGGAUGCCGGCCUUCGGGUUGUAAACCGCUUUCGCCUGUGACGAAGCGUGAGUGACGGUAAUGGGUAAAGAAGCACCGGCUAACUACGUG